rnacentral:lncRNA from 1 species
CAGUUGAGUAUGCCCUCGGUAAUGGACUCAGGGUGAUACAGGACAGAGCAUUUCAGAAACUGUCAUUAUCCCUUGGAAACUUACAGUCCAUUGGAGAGACAGACACAUCAUAAAUAAUUACCAAACAUGUAUAACUAUAAUUAUGGUCUCCACUGUUUCUGAAUCCCCUUCCUACAUUUGGAGAAUAUGUCAUCAUGUGAUUCUUGGUGUGAGCAGAGCUGGCCUCUCAGCAGUGAAGUCUAGAAGGCCGGUUACCUGACCUCCGGGGCCCCUCUGGUGUCCAGGCUUUCUACAAUGUGACUUUGACUGUUUUCCUACUGAGAGGUGGGGCAUAUGUUCCCUCCCCUUGAUUCUGGGCAGGUUUUGACUACAAUCGAAGUAACGCUAAGUGAAUUCUGAAGCUUGGGUGUAUGAAGUGGUACAGACUUUGCCUUUUGUUUUUGCCUUGGAACUCAGCCAUCAUAACGGGAGGAGGCCCAAACAGCCUGUGAUGAGUGAGGUGCAAGUGGAAAGGAACUGUGGCCGCCAGCCCUCAGCCUUAGCCAAACUCCCAGCUGCCAGCCAGCAGGAACCUGCCAGCCAUAAGUGAGCCAUCUUGAAAGCGCAUCCUUCAGCCCCAGUCAAGCCAUCUCAGCUGGCGCUGUGUGGCACAAAGAUGAACCAUCCUUGUUCAUCCCUACCUACAAUGCAGAGACUCACGUUAUUGAGCUGAUCACCCCUCUGUAAGUGGUGGACGAACUCAGUCAACUGUGUUUGUGCCUGGAUUCAAUAUAGCCACUUGGCUGUUUCAAUUUCUCGUCCUUGGGAAGGAGGAGCAAAACUACAGUGCGUUGUUCCCAGGUUCACCUCUGGGAUGAGAUCUGGACGAGAAUAAUCAUGCCUGCCCCUUCACCUCUGGCUGCACUCUGAGAAGUGCCAAGAAGGUCAUAUCAAAGACCCAGAGGGGAGAGAUGGAGCUAAGUGGUUCCAAACAUUUAGAGCAUGGAAUUGAGCUACUUUUUCAAAAUGGGGAAUGCAGGUUUGAACUCUACCUGGGAUGAGUGACAAUGGGGACAUCUGGGUUUUUUUUCAGAGAAGAAUCCACCCUUAUGGUGUUGUGGCCCUUUGGGCUUACUAAGACGGUCAUACAACCCCAAAGCGAGUACACAUCCCCAAAUCCAGGCUGUUCAGCUUUAUAAAUGUCAACUAUGGGGCAUCAAUAGCCCAACCCAGAGGCACACUGGAAACGCAAUAGAACAAUGGCUGCCAAUUUAAAAGCAGAAGUUAAGAAGAGCAAACCCGAAUGUACAGCGAGAGAGCUUCGGGCUGGAUCAGCUCCCGGCAGAAGCGAGACUGGAAAUCUUGGAUUCUGUUGCCUCUUCUCUCCUCUGUGAUGUGGAAGAAGAUGUCAGCACCUGGGUGUGGACUUGGUCAUUAACGCUUAUUUCCCAACCUUUGCCAAGCUGCCUAACUCCCUGGAGUCUUAGUUUUCUCAUGUGUGGGAGACAAUGUGUUCUUUAUCCUGAAGUCAUUGUGAGGACUGAGUGAGAGGAUGUAUGUGGAAGGAAGCACCAAGCAUGGUUCCUGGUAUAUACUAGGUACUCAGUAAAUGUGGACUAGCGUGAAUAUGAACUCCACUCACUUCGUGCCCCCUCAUGCUGGCUGGUCCCCGGUGCUCUGGGCUUCCCAAGUCAUGGCAGUUUUCCCAAAGUGGCCCCUAAAGUCAUGUCAGUCCUUGGGGCCUCAUUACUUAGGUUUCCUGUGCCAUCUGCUCCUUUCCAGUCAUAGAUUCCAUGCUCCGUUCUGACAGAAGCUUGCUUCUGCUGGCUGUCACACUUAAAAAGUGGCGGAUGACCAUUCGAGCGUUAGAUGAUAAUGAUUUAUGAACACCAUCCCUCCAGACAGCAUUUGCAGUAUUACAAGUUUUGCUUUUAUUUUAUUUGUCACUAGGAAGGCACUGAGAACAAAAGGAAACUCUCUUGAAUGGUGGGAUCGAGGCACUGUAGCACAUUUUUUAUGGAGGGGAAGGAGGCUUUUCACCUGGAAACCUUUCAAAUCACACCCUAUAAGUAGCUCACGAGUCUCUCUACUCAUACUGAUCUCUUCAUCUGCUGAGUUGAACAGUGUCCCCCAAAUUCAUGGCCACCCGGGACCUGUGAAUGUGACCUUAUUUGGAAAUAGGGUCAUUGCAGAUAUACUCAAAUUAAGACAAGGCCAUAUUGGAUUAGGGGGAGCCCUAAAUUCAAUAUGACUGGAGUCUUUAUAAGAAGAGGAAAAUUUGGCCACAGAGAUAUAGACCUACGGGGUAUCAGGCCCUGUGAAGACAGAGUCAGAGAUUGGAACGAGGUGUCAAGUCAAGGAUCAACAAGGAUUGCUGACAACCAGAGCAAGAUGGAAGAGGCAAGGAAGGGCUCUUCCUUAGAGACUUCAGAAGGAACAGGCCCUGCCAACACCUUGACUGUGGACUUCUAGCCUCCAGAACUUUGAGGGAAUAAAUUUCUGUUGUUUCAAGCCGCCCAGUCUAUG